rnacentral:rRNA from 1 species
GUAUCCUAACCGUGCGAAGGUAGCGUAAUCACUUGUCCUUUAAAUGAAGACUAGUAUGAACGGCUUCACGAAGGCUGCACUGUCUCCUUUUUCUAAUCAGUAAAACUAAUCUCCCCGGGAAGAAGCGGGAAUCCACCUAUAAGACGAGAAGACCCUAUGGAGCUUUAAACAAUUGUUUACACUUGCACUCAAAUUCUUAUUUAAUAUCUAACCAAGCAUUAUGUUUCUAGUUUUAGGUUGGGGUGACCAUGGAGAAAAACUUAUCCUCCAUAUUGAAAGAAAUUCUAUUUCUUAGCAAAAAGUUACAUCUUGAUGCACCAACAAAUUGACCUUAAUUGACCCAAUAAUUUGAUCAACGAACCAAGUUACCCUAGGGAUAACAGCGCAAUCCACUUCAAGAGUUCUUAUCGACAAGUGGGUUUACGACCUCGAUGUUGGAUCAGGGUAUCCUAGUGGUGCAGCCGCUA